UGGGGGAUAUUGCACAAUGGGCGAAAGCCUGAUGCAGCGACGCCGCGUGGGGGAUGAAGGCCUUCGGGUUGUAAACUUCUUUUGCUCUGAACAAGGCAUGCCUUUGGGGUGGGUUGAGGGUAGGUGGAGAAGAAGCGCCGGCUAACUACGUGCCAGCAGCCGCGGUAAUACGUAGGGCGCGAGCGUUGUCCGGAAUUAUUGGGCGUAAAGGGCUUGUAGGCGGCUUGUUGCGCCUGCUGUGAAAACGCGGGGCUUAACUUCCCGCGUGCAGUGGGUACGGGCAGGCUUGAGUGUAGUAGGGGUGACUGGAAUUCCAGGUGUAGCGGUUGAAUGCGCAGAUAUCUGGAGGAACACCGAUGGCGAAGGCAGGUCGCUGGGCCAUUACUGACGCUGAGGAGCGAAAGCAUGGGUAGCGAACAGG
rnacentral:rRNA from 1 species